rnacentral:rRNA from 1 species
AGUGAACGCUGGCGGUAGGCCUAACACAUGCAAGUCGAACGGCAGCACAGUAAGAGCUUGCUCUUACGGGUGGCGAGUGGCGGACGGGUGAGGAAUACAUCGGAAUCUACUUUUUCGUGGGGGAUAACGUAGGGAAACUUACGCUGAUACCGCAUACGACCUACGGGUGAAAGCAGGGGAUCUUCGGACCUUGCGCGAUUGAAUGAGCCGAUGUCGGAUUAGCUAGUUGGCGGGGUAAAGGCCCACCAAGGCGACGAUCCGUAGCUGGUCUGAGAGGAUGAUCAGCCACACUGGAACUGGGACACGGUCCAGACUCCUAAGGGAGGCAGCAGUGGGAAAUAUGGGAAAAGGGGCGCAAGCCUGAUCCAGCCAUACCGCGUGGGGAAAGAAGGCCUUCGGGUUGUAAAGCCCUUUUGUUGGGAAAGAAAAGCAGCAGGUUAAUACCCCGCUGUUCUGACGGUACCCAAAGAAUAAGCACCGGCUAACUUCGU